rnacentral:misc_RNA from 1 species
GAUGAAGAACGUAGCGAAAUGCGAUAAGUAAUGUGAAUUGCAGAAUUCAGUGAAUCAUCGAAUCUUUGAACGCACCUUGCGCCCUUUGGCCAUUCCGAAGGGCAUGCCUGUUUGAGUAUCAUGAACACCUCAACUCUUCAUGGUUUUCCGUGAUGAGCUUGGACUUUGGGGGUCUUGCUGGCCUAUGGUCAGCUCCUCUAAAAUAAAUCAGCUUACCAGUGUUUGGUGGGUAUCACAGGUGUGAUAACUAUCUACGCUUGUGGUUUUCCACCAGGUAACCUUCAGCAGUGGAGGUUCGCUGGAGCUCACAGAUGUGUCUCUCCUCAGUGAGGACAGCUCUUUGAAUGUUUGAUCUCAAAUCAGGUAGGACUACCCGCUGAACUUAAGCAUAUCAAUAAGCGGAGGA